AACGAACGCUGGCGGCAGGCUUAACACAUGCAAGUCGAACGCCCGUAGCAAUACGGGAGUGGCAGACGGGUGAGUAACGCGUGGGAAUCUUCCCAAAGGUACGGAACAACUCAGGGAAACUUGAGCUAAUACCGUAUGUGCCCGAGGGGGCAAAGAUUUAUCGCCUUUGGAUGAGCCCGCGUUGGAUUAGCUAGUUGGUGGGGUAAUGGCCUACCAAGGCGACGAUCCAUAGCUGAUCUGAGAGGAUGAUCAGCCACACUGGGACUGAGACACGGCCCAGACUCCUACGGGAGGCAGCAGUGGGGAAUCUUGGACAAUGGGCGAAAGCCUGAUCCAGCCAUGCCGCGUGAGUGAAGAAGGCCUUAGGGUUGUAAAGCUCUUUUGCCCGGGAAGAUAAUGACGGUACCGGGAGAAUAAGCCCCGGCAAACUUCGUGCCAGCCGCCGCAGUAACAC
rnacentral:rRNA from 1 species